GGAAUAUUGCGCAAUGGCCGAAAGGCUGACGCAGCGACGCCGCGUGGGGGAUGAAGCAUUUCGGUGUGUAAACCCCUGUUGCUCGGGACGAACAAGCGAUUUUGAUCGCUCUGACGGUACCGAGUGAGGAAGCACCGGCUAACUCCGUUCCAGCAGCCGCGGUAAUACGGAGGGUGCGAGCGUUGUCCGGAAUCACUGGGCGUAAAGGGCGCGUAGGCGGUCUGCUAAGCGUGCGGCGAAAGCCUGGGGCUCAACCCCAGGUCUGCCGUGCGAACUGGUGGACUUGAGCACUGUAGAGGCAGGUGGAAUUUCGGGUGUAGCGGUGGAAUGCGUAGAGAUCCGAAAGAACACCGGUGGCGAAGGCGGCCUGCUGGGCAGUAGCUGACGCUGAGGCGCGACAGCGUGGGGAGCAAA
rnacentral:rRNA from 1 species